UUGGUAUGCCUGUUCUGUUGCCCGCUCUGGCUCUGGUGAAUUCUCUCACUGCUGCAGGGGGCCUUGCUGCCCCAGCCAAGUAAGACACUGGCAAGCAGCUAAGAAAAGGGCCUCACACCGUGGGGCUGAAGAUUAAACAUCCCUUUGUUUUUUGUUCUUGGUCAUAAAAAAGAAAAAACUUCAUGGACUAUACAUUGGUCAAUAAAUUAAAUGUAUAAGAAUAUUGUAAGUACGUGGCAUGGAAAAAUACUUGCUUAAAAAUUAAACACUGAAUAAUUUGGCCCACUUGACAAUGGGAAAUAAUUACUGUGCUAGGGCAUGUCUGAUAAGCAACCCAGAGCUGGUCAUAAUAAUAUUCCUCAUAUGGAAGUUCCGUAGAGAAGCCUUGUAAUGAAUCACGAAGUUGAUUACGCUAGGAGUUUCUAGGUAGAAAAGUUCUAACAACUGAUUACCGGGAAGCAACUGGUUUCUAGCUGCAGGCCAUAUAGAUAGAGGAGUCUCCUGAUAUUGUAGCCUCUGCAAUAGGUCAGUACCAAGGACUGUUAGCUGACCUAGGUAGUUGUUUAGGCUGAAAUAAUAAGUCUAAAUUUUAAUUAUCUAUUAACUUUUAAGGUCAUUUCGUUUCUCAAAACACAUAGGCGCCAAAAUGUCUAUGGGAAAGGAAUGUACUGAUUGUUUUUGUUUUGCUUCUAUGCAUAAAAUGAUGUAAUCCCAUCUCUUGCCUUAAUGUAUAAAUAAAGACCUGCUGAGACCCUCAGCAGGAGACACUUCAACAUAGGAGUGUGUGUGUCUGCCUCACUCCCCUUCCCUUCAGCCCUUAAAGUUUUGCCUAGGCUGUCUCAUCCUUUCAGGGACACCUGAGCCGACAUUUUGCCGAAAGCUGGUCUUCAACAAGUGGCGCCUGGAACAGGGACCUGAAAGCAGGCCUGCCCUGAACCCUCCCAUCCCCUGGCCACACCCCAGUGUGCUUUCCUCUGGGUGACUUCCUGCUCUGGCUGUUUGAGGCCUGUUCUCAGUUGGUGUCCCAGGGCCAGCUGAGAUCUGAGGAUGCUCUAAGCUCAACUCCCUGAAACCCCCAUCUCCUGUCAGCAUCAAAGCUCAAGGCUGGGACCCCAGACUCCAGGUCCAGGAGAGGGAUGACUUAGAGGACACAGAACACCCUCCCAGUGAACAACAACACUGAACUGCAACCAAAAACGAAGGAUGAGCCACAGAACUCCAAUUCUUCUAGCAGCACUGCCCAGGAUGCACCCCUGAUUGAUCCCAGAGGACACAGGUUUUCUCCAUCAAAAAACCAGAAUUCAGCUACAAAGAUGUUACCUGUCCUACGGCGAAUAAUUAUGUCUACAACCCUAGGGGAGAUGACCCAACUUCAACCUGACAAAAUAAAGAAGUAUAAGGAAGGCCAGAAUAAGCCACUGGACUGUGAUUCUGGUCACAUUCUGGACAAAACCUUGAAAAAUCUGGAACCUGCCCCAAAACAGAUGCCUUCUUCAUCAACCUGUCUUCUUCUAUGGAUCCUUUCCUUCUGGAAUGCAACUUUGUUUGGAGAAGGGUAUAGAGAGCUGGCCAUGAAUCCUUCACAGGGAAGAUUUGGAAGUUCCGAGAACCCAGGUGGAUGGCAGAACAGGGAUAGAAGGUCUCAGCGUCAACAGAAUAUGAUCUUGAUUUUGGUUUCACUUCUCAUCCCAAGGACUCCUGACACAACAUUUUGCUGAGGCUGGUCGUCGACAAGUGAGCCCGAACAGGGACCUGAAAGUUGUGAUCCCAAGUGUCCGCCGCAUAUUUGCUAAGGAACGUGAAGACCAGCAGAAGCAGAAAUCAAACAAAGAAAGUGAGAACCACAAUGAUUCUGAUCUCCAGCAACAUAGACAGUCUUCUCCUUUGAGUGGGGCUGACAAGGUGAAGUCAGGUGACCCACUGGCAACCUUGAGAAGGCUGGUUGAUGACCUAAAACUUAUGGAUACUAAAUCAUCUGAAGCAAUUGCACACCCUGAGGACCAUCCACAGCUGUCAUCGCACUCGACCCAAACGGAUGAGAAACUCAAACAGUCCAAGUUCCUGCAGCUUGAUAUGGAAGCACUCAGUCUUGUGUUGGACCUCUCACGUGACCCGGAUAAGAAAAAAAUGGCUCAUGUCCUAGAAGUUGUAAUUUCUAUAGCAACUGAAGCAAUUGCGCACCAUGAAGACCACCCACAGCAGUCAUUGCACUUGACCCAAACGGGUGAGAAACUCAAAAAGUCCGAGGUCCUGCGGCUUGAUAUGGAAGCAAUCAUCUCUAAAUUGGACCGUGUAGAUGACCUGGAUACGGAACAAUUGCUUGAAACCCUAGAAGUUAAUAUUUCUACAUCAAUUCCAGUUAUGAAGGAACUUGCCCGCCGCCUUCAUGCCGAGUCAGGUGAAGACCAGGAGAAGCUGACCUCAAACACGAGAAAAGGAAGUGAGAAACACGUCCAUCGUGGAUUCUGAUCCCCAGCAACAUACACAGUCUUCUCCUUUGACUCAGGCUGACAAGGUGGAGUCGCAUGACCCGGGGACAUGCUUGCGACAGCCGGCUGAUGACCCAAAAGCUAUGGAUUCUCUAUCACGUUGAUACAGUUAACAAGUUUGUCUUUCCCCCAUUUCCUGCAGUCCCCCCUCAUCUGGCAUUAACAAGAUUAGUAGCUUGUCUUUCCCCAUUUGUUGCAGCUUCCCCUCCCCUUAAGAAGAAAAACAAACUGGUGCCCACUGGUUUCCGUGCAGACCCUUCCCCCUCCCCUGAAUGAAAACAGGCCAGCAAUCACCUGUCUCCCGUGCUGACCCCUUCCCCUUCCCUUGGGAGAUGAAUGAGCUGACACCCUUCCGUCUCCGUGCAGACCCUUUCCCCGUCUCCACACUGACCCUGUCCCCCUCCCCUUGAUGAAAACCAGCUGGGACCCAUCCAUCUCCUUGUGGAGCUGGCGCCCACUUGUCUCCCUAUGGACCCCUUCCCGCGUCCCUUCGCGGACCCCUGCCCAUCUCUCCCCCUUGUAUAAAUACCCCUGCCCGCUGCCAGAGAGCAGGACGGUGGUCUUUCAGACAUGAGCCUGCUGCCCUCCUCAUUUGUCGACAAAUAAAACCGCUUUCCUUUU